UACGAAGGGGGCUAGCGUUGUUCGGAUUUACUGGGCGUAAAGCGCACGUAGGCGGAUCUUUAAGUCAGGGGUGAAAUCCCGAGGCUCAACCUCGGAACUGCCCUUGAUACUGGGGAUCUCGAGUCCGGAAGAGGUUGGUGGAACUCCGAGUGUAGAGGUGAAAUUCGUAGAUAUUCGGAAGAACACCAGUGGCGAAGGCGGCCAACUGGUCCGGCACUGACGCUGAGGUGCGAAAGCGUGGGGAGCGAACAGG
rnacentral:rRNA from 1 species